rnacentral:rRNA from 1 species
CUACGGGGCGCUCCAGGCGAGGAACUUUUACAAUGCGCGCAAGCGUGAUAAAAUAAACCAGAGUGUUAAUCUUAGAUUAACUUUUGCCUGAUGUAAAAAGUCAGGCGAAUAAGGACUGGGCAAGACCGGUGCCAGCCGCCGCGGUAAUACCGGCGGUCCGAGUCGCAUCCACAUUUAUUGGGUCUAAAACAUUCGUAGCUUGUUUUGUAAGUCUCUUGUGAAAUCUCAUAUCUCAAAUAUGAGGCGGGCAAGAGAUACUGCAUUGCUAGAGACCGGAAGACGUAAGGAGUACAAUUGAGGUAGCGGUAAAAUGUGUUAAUCUUGAUUGGACUAACAAUGGCGAAGGCACCUUACGAGUACGGAUCUGACAGUGAGGGAUGAAGGCCAGGGGCGCAAAACGGAUUAGAUACCCGGGUAGUC